rnacentral:rRNA from 1 species
UACGUAGGGUGCGAGCGUUAAUCGGAUUUACUGGGCGUAAAGCGCGCGUAGGUGGUUAGGUAAGCGAGAUGUGAAAGCCCCGGGCUUAACCUGGGAACGGCAUUUCGAACUGUCUGGCUAGAGUGUGGUAGAGGGUAGUGGAAUUUCCUGUGUAGCGGUGAAAUGCGUAGAUAUCGGGAGGAACACCAGUGGCGAAGGCGGCCUUCUGGCCUUAACCUGACGCUGAGGAGCGAAAGCUAGGGGAGCAAACGGG